rnacentral:rRNA from 1 species
CGGUAUUCUGACCGUGCGAAGGUAGCGUAAUCACUUGUCUUUUAAUUGAAGACCCGUAUGAAAGGCAUCACGAGAGUUUAUCUGUCUCUAUUUUCCAAUCAAUGAAAUUGAACCUCUCGUGCAGAAGCGAGAAUAAAAACAUAAGACGAGAAGACCCUAUGGAGCUUCAAACACUUAAGUUACUUUUAAAACAUAAAAUUCCUACCUUCGGGUAUAAACUAAAAACUAAUUUCUUAACUUAACCUGUUUUUGGUUGGGGCGACCAGGGGGAAAAACAAAACCCCCUUAUCGAAUGUGUUAAACACAAAAAUUAGGACUACAAUCCUAAUCAAUAGAAAAUCUAACGAACAAUGACCCAGGGCCCGAUCCCUGAUCAAUGAACCAAGUUACCCUAGGGAUAACAGCGCAAUCCUUUCUUAGAGCCCCCAUCGCCGAAAGGGGUUUACGACCUCGAUGUUGGAUCAGGACAUCCUAAUGGUGUAGCCGCUAUUAAGGGGCUCGUUUGUUCAACGAUUAAACAGUCCUACGUGAUCUGAGUUCAGACC